rnacentral:rRNA from 1 species
UACGGAGGGUGCGAGCGUUGUCCGGAAUCACUGGGCGUAAAGGGCGCGUAGGCGGUUUGUACAGUCAGACGUGAAAUUCCUGGGCUCAACCUGGGGGCUGCGUUUGAUACGUGCAGACUUGAGUUCGGAAGAGGGUCGUGGAAUUCCCAGUGUAGAGGUGAAAUUCGUAGAUAUUGGGAAGAACACCGGUGGCGAAGGCGGCGACCUGGUCCGAUACUGACGCUGAGGCGCGAAAGCGUGGGGAGCAAACAGG